UUCCCAUUUACUACUAGCAGAGAAUGGGAAUCAGUUUCCCGCCUUUACUAAAACGUGGUAAUGAGCUUGUCUUUCUCAUGCUUCUGUUCUGUAAGAGGAAGAGGAGGCUUUUCGGUCCCAAAUGCCCAGGGAGGACCCUUCCUCAUUUCAUAUUCCUGAAUCAUCUGGGCCUUUCCACUUGGAGUAUUGACUUGUAGCAGUGACACCUCCACCUCUGCGUGAUAUGUCUUUCAAGUGAGAAGGCUUUCCUGGUCAAUACUGAAUCAAUUUGUGCUGGCAGUCUAAUUGAAUGCCUCCCUCAGACAAAUAGGUCACUGGGGGAAAGGGUAAAACCUUGAUAUGCAGAUCUGAAUCGAAGCGCCCAGCGAAAGCUGUUUUAAAAAUAUAAUUCCUCUUGACAAGUACUCUAUGUAACAAAUGCAGUGCUAGUUAUUUGCUCAGCAAAAUGAGCAUAAAUCAAUCUCUUUAUAGCCUUCUUUUUAUUUGAUUACUAUUAUAGUUUAACUUGAUCUCUGCAGAACGAGAGAGAGAGCACACAAAACUCUAGAAUGACCCCUAGGAUGAGAAAUUUCAUGCCCUAAAGUUUUGCGUAUGUGAAUCUCUCUUUAUUAAUUGGGAUACCAUUUCCGUUUAGCAAAUUAUAUUGAUGAUGUUUAAAUUAUUUGACAUCUUUAAUAUUCACAAAUUACGGCUUUUCCAAAGAUGAACUUGGUUUUUCUCAGCGUUCUCUUGGGAACCGAUGAGAAGAAAGGGUCAGGAGACUCUCAGGAGGAAGCGCCAUGCAGAGCGUUGGUCGUCACUGACAUGAGAUAUGCCCGUGUGCACACCCCCCCACCACCUGUACGCACUGGUGGAUGAAGCCACAGUUCUGUCCUUUUUGGUCUCUCAAAACAUCUUGCAGGACAUCUUUACUCCUCCCCUCCCAAGAGUAUCUCCAAGACUACAGAGACAGCAUGAUACUGCUCCUUUUUUGGCAGCACAAGAUUACAAGCAGAAAUAGACACACUGUUGGAAAUGAACAUGAAUGAAGCCAGUCUGCUUUGAUAGAAAUACAUCUUGGAGUCAUUGUGAUGGGGUACACCUUAGAACUUUCUAAAGGGAUAGAUACUCACUUUUCUGGCCUAUAAACUUUGUUUCCCUAAAAAAUGAACUAAGAAGAAUGCUAGAAAAAUGUAGAAAAUAAAUCUCUAGAAACUUCUGUGUGGUUUCUUUGUAUUUUAUUUCUUUUAAAUUCAGUGUGGUAAAUAUUGUUUAUGACAUGCAGACCAAAUAAAAUCCAUAGCAAUUUGAAA